rnacentral:rRNA from 1 species
GAUGAACGCUGGCGGCGUGCCUAAUACAUGCAAGUCGAACGAGGUGCUUUUGUAGCAAUACGAAAGUAUCCUAGUGGCGAACGGGUGAGUAACGCGUUGGUGACCUACCCCAAAGUGUGGGAUAACAGUUCGAAAGAACUGCUAAUACCGCAUGUGGUUAUCGGAUUUAGAAACUGAUAACUAAAGGAGCAAUUCGCUUUGGGAGGGACCUGCGUCCCAUCAGCUAGUUGGUGAGGUAAUGGCUCACCAAGGCUACGACGGGUAGGGGACCUGAGAGGGUGACCCCCCACAAUGGAACUGAACACGGUCCGAUACACCUACGGGUGGGCAGCAGUAGGGAAGUAUUGCACAAU